UAACCUGCCCAAGAGAUCGGGAUAACACCUGGAAACAGAUGCUAAUACCGGAUAACAACAGAUGAUGCCUAUCAACUGUUUAAAAGAUGGUUCUGCUAUCACUCUUGGAUGGACCUGCGGUGCAUUAGCUAGUUGGUAGGGUAACGGCCUACCAAGGCGAUGAUGCAUAGCCGAGUUGAGAGACUGAUCGGCCACAUUGGGACUGAGACACGGCCCAAACUCCGUACGGGAGGCAGCAGGU
rnacentral:rRNA from 1 species